AGAUAUAUUACUAUAUUAUUUUUCUUUGAAUAGAAAUAUGUAUAUGUUCAUUCGGACAAGAGCCAAUUGCCGUAACAGUACGGGCGAGGUGUAUGGAUCUUCGAUUCAAUUUAGAUCGUCUUCACCACCACCUAGCGCCGUGAAAUGGAGAGUGGUUGUCCCUUGUCGUUAAUAGGCGGCUAUUGGCCAACACCAAUGGGACAAGGGCCACUAGACGGCGUGAUUAAUGGAUGCACCAGGAAUCACCACACACGAAUAUGUCCCUUUUUGGCCGACAAAUUAGUUGGUAAAGAGGAAAAAUUAAAUAAAAUACGACUUACAUAAUCGAUCACGAAAUAGGACCGGGGGUUGAACAACCGGACGACCAGGAGAGAAACGCAGCAGCACACAGCGGAAUCACCAGGUGAUCCUUGAGGUAUUCCAGAUUUUUCGUUAACAAUUGGUGUUGAUCGAAUCGGCCUGCAGGCGGUGGUGUUGCUGCUGAUGGGCGAUGUUGAACGUCCAGAUAAAGGAUGAUAUGACCAUGCGGUCGCCCACUCGUAACUGGUCUCAGCAGUGCCUGGUGCCGCCGUGAUCCAAUCACGACCUUUCGCGCCGUGUUUACCGCCUGCGGUGCU